rnacentral:ncRNA from 1 species
GAAAGGUUGUGUUUUAGCGCACAACUGGAUGCGUAACAUACCGAGCAUCCCAAUUAGG